GAUGAACGCUGGCGGCGUGCUUAACACAUGCAAGUCGAACGGUGAAGGCGGAGCUUGCUCUGCUGGAUCAGUGGCGAACGGGUGAGUAACACGUGAGCAAUCUGCCCCUGACUCUGGGAUAAGCGCUGGAAACGGCGUCUAAUACUGGAUACGAGCUGCGAAGGCAUCUUCAGCAGCUGGAAAGAACUUCGGUCAGGGAUGAGCUCGCGGCCUAUCAGCUUGUUGGUGAGGUAACGGCUCACCAAGGCGUCGACGGGUAGCCGGCCUGAGAGGGUGACCGGCCACACGGGGACGGGGACAAGGCCCAGGCCCCUACGGGAGGGAGGAGGGGGGAAUAUUGCACAAUGGGCGAAAGCCUGAUGCAGCAACGCCGGGGGGGGGACGACGGCCUUCGGGUUGUAAACCGUUUUUAGCGGGAAAGAAGCGAAAGUGACGGUACCUGCAAAAAAAGCGCCGGCUAACUACGU
rnacentral:rRNA from 1 species